rnacentral:rRNA from 1 species
UCCUACGGGAGGCAGCAGUCAGGAAUAUUGCGCAAUGGAGGAAACUCUGACGCAGCGACGCCGCGUGGGUGAUGAAGGCCUUCGGGUCGUAAAGUACUUUCAGCGGGGAGGAAGGGAGUAAAGUUAAUACCUUUGCUCAUUGACGUUACCCGCAGAAGAAGCACCGGCUAACUCCGUGCCAGCAGCCGCGGUA